GAUGAACGCUGGCGGCGUGCCUAAUACAUGCAAGUCGAGCGAACGGACGAGAAGCUUGCUUCUCUGAUGUUAGCGGCGGACGGGUGAGUAACACGUGGAUAACCUACCUAUAAGACUGGGGUAACUUCGGGAAACCGUAGCUAAUACCGGAUAAUAUUUUGAACCGCAUGGUUCAAAAGUGAAAGACGGUCUUGCUGUCACUUAUAGAUGGAUCCGCGCUGCAUUAGCUAGUUGGUAAGGUAACGGCUUACCAAGGCAACGAUGCAUAGCCGACCUGAGAGGGUGAUCGGCCACACUGGAACUGAGACACGGUCCAGACCCCUACGGGAGGCAGCAGUAGGGAAUCUUCCGCAAUGGGCGAAAGCCUGACGGAGCAACGCCGCGUGAGUGAUGAAGGUCUUCGGAUCGUAAAACUCUGUUAUUAGGGAAGAACAUAUGUGUAAGUAACUGUGCACAUCUUGACGGUACCUAAUCAGAAAGCCACGGCUAACUACGUG
rnacentral:rRNA from 1 species